AACGAACGCUGGCGGCAUGCCUAACACAUGCAAGUCGAACGAGACCUUCGGGUCUAGUGGCGCACGGGUGCGUAACGCGUGGGAACCUGCCUUUAGGUUCGGAAUAACUCAGAGAAAUUUGAGCUAAUACCGGAUAAUGUCUUCGGACCAAAGAUUUAUCGCCUUUAGAUGGGCCCGCGUUGGAUUAGCUAGUUGGUGGGGUAAAGCCUACCAAGGCGACGAUCCAUAGCUGGUCUGAGAGGAUGAUCAGCCACACUGGGACUGAGACACGGCCCAGACUCCUACGGGAGGCAGCAGUGGGGAAUAUUGGACAAUGGGCGAAAGCCUGAUCCAGCAAUGCCGCGUGAGUGAUGAAGGCCUUAGGGUUGUAAAGCUCUUUUACCCAAGAUGAUAAUGACAGUAUCGGGAGAAUAAGACUCCGGCUAACUCCGUGCCAGCAGCCGCGGUAAUGUGACUACUG
rnacentral:rRNA from 1 species